GCAAGUCGAGGGGCAGCAUCAUCAAAGCUUGCUUUGAUGGAUGGCGACCGGCGCACGGGUGAGUAACACGUAUCCAACCUGCCGACAACACUGGGAUAGCCUUUCGAAAGAAAGAUUAAUACCGGAUGGCAUAGUUUUCCCGCAUGGGAUAAUUAUUAAAGAAUUUCGGUUGUCGAUGGGGAUGCGUUCCAUUAGGCAGUUGGCGGGGUAACGGCCCACCAAACCUACGAUGGAUAGGGGUUCUGAGAGGAAGGUCCCCCACAUUGGAACUGAGACACGGUCCAAACUCCUACGGGAGGCAGCAGUGAGGAGUAUUGGUCAAUGGACGAGAGUCUGAACCAGCCAAGUAGCGUGAAGGAUGACUGCCCUAUGGGUUGUAAACUUCUUUUAUACGGGAAUAAAGUGAGCCACGUGUGGCUUUUUGUAUGUACCGUAUGAAUAAGGAUCGGCUAACUCCGUGCCAGCAGCCGCGGUAAUACGGAGGAUUCGAGCGUUAUCCGGAUUUAUUGGGUUUAAAGGGAGCGUAGGCGGGUUGUUAAGUCAGUUGUGAAAGUUUGCGGCUCAACCGUAAAAUUGCAGUUGAUACUGGCGACCUUGGGUGCAACAGAGGUAGGCGGAAUUCGUGGUGUAGCGGUGAAAUGCUUAGAUAUCACGAAGAACUCCGAUUGCGAAGGCAGCUUACUGGAUUGUAACUGACGCUGAUGCUCGAAAGUGUGGGUAUCAAACAGGAUUAGAUACCCUGGUAGUCCACACAGUAAACGAUGAAUACUCGCUGUUGGCGAUAUACAGUCAGCGGCCA
rnacentral:rRNA from 1 species